rnacentral:rRNA from 1 species
GAUGAACGCUAGCGGCAGGCCUAACACAUGCAAGUCGAGGGGUAUAAGAUAGCUUGCUAUCUUAGAGACCGGCGCACGGGUGAGUAACGCGUAUGCAACCUACCUUUUACAAAGGGAUAGCCCGGAGAAAUUCGGAUUAAUACCUUAUAGUAUUGUGAUAUAGCAUUUUAUUACAAUUAAAGCAUUUAGCGGUAAAAGAUGGGCAUGCGUCUUAUUAGUUAGAUGGUGUGGUAACGGCACACCAUGACUACGAUAAGUAGGGGUCCUGAGAGGGAGAUCCCCCACACUGGAACUGAGACACGGACCAG